GGUUUAAUUCGAAGCAACGCGAAGAACCUUACCAAGUCUUGACAUCCCGAUGACAAGCUAUGUAUGUAGCCUCUCUUCGGAGCAUCGGUGACAGGUGGUGCAUGGUUGUCGUCAGCUCGUGUCGUGAGAUGUUGGGUUAAGUCCCGCAACGAGCGCAACCCCUGUUCUUAGUAGCCAGCGGUUCGGCCGGGCACUCUAGGGAGACUGCCAGGGAUAACCUGGA
rnacentral:rRNA from 1 species